GCCCUCGCCCCCACCACUGCCACCGUCGUUCUUUUCUGCCCUCUCCCUCUCUGUCUGUCUCUCUCUGUCUCUUUUCUUUUUCUCUCUGCCUGUUAGCUGCUCUCUCUUAAUCUCUGCCUCUUUGCUUUUUUUCUCUAUGUGCAAGCUAAGACAUACUACACACUAUAGUUUGAAGAAGCAGACAAGGAACUCUUAACCAUUCUAUCUUCUCCAGUUCUUUGCCCAUUGCCUGGACUCAGUGUUCAUGCAAGAUAAAGUCGGCUACACACUUCCCUUCCCAAGCAUUACUUGCCAGGUGAGCACAGGGCCUGCCCUGAAUGUGACAUCAUGAUCCACGGAAGGUAUAUUGUAUCAACACGAACUAUAACAUAGCUAUCAAGAUGGGAUUUGGGUACACAUAUCCGUGUCAGUUAUAAAGCCGAUCACAAAAACAAGAUCUCCAGGCAUGAAGUAAUGAUCACAGCUGAGUCUCCUAUUGAGUUUUCCUACAGAGGUAUUUCAGGGUCCUGAAUCACAGCUAAAAUGGAAUGCCUUUGUGUGUGCUCUGUAAGCGGGAGGUAUUGCAUCGAAGCAAGUGUUGGCUCAACUUCCUAAUGAGAAACCUGGAUACUGAUGGGGCUUAGCUUUGAUUGGAUUCUGGAACUUACUGCACUAAUCUGGGUGUAGUCCAGCAACUGGGUGGCACUGGCAGAGGGAGCCCUACUUCUGCCACAAUUACUGGUCAAUUGCAAGUGAUUAUAAUGGCACCGUGUCUAAAACAAUAUGGAGAAAAAUGCUGCCUGGAAAACAUGAAGCAGUGGUGCUCUACAAUGGAACGAGCAAGUUGCUGAGCAUAUCAGAACAACAAGAGACUUUGGAAAUUUGUGUUGCUACUCUGGACCACAGGAAGAUGGCACUUUAAAAAAAGUCUAUGUGGUUUAUUUUCUUCUCCUUCAGCAGGUGGAACAAGGCCCAGUGGGCUCUACACAUACCAUCUCUCUUGGUGUGUGGAAAUGGUUGGACAGAAUUCAAGAAAGAGCAGGGUUGGCCAGUCUUGCCAUAUGAAUUAACCCAAGAAAUAGGAAGAGCUGACAGAAAGUUUGUUACUGCAUCUAACUUCACCUCCACACAAGUGAGACACUCCAUUGGUAUGGAAGAUGCAAAUUCCUAGAAAUUACCACAUUAGGAAAACAUUUCUGGAAUGCUUAUGAGUAAAUGCUGGAUAGACUUGACCAAUAGAUAGUUGCUCUGAUAUUUGCAGAUCAUGUAGUAGAGCUACUAUUUUUGCCUUUA
rnacentral:lncRNA from 1 species